UUCAUUUCACCCAAAUCCUAGCCUACCCGCAGCAGAAAAUACCUUCUCCUUGAACACCACCACGAACCAGAACUCGAUAAAUCUUCCACCUCUCUGAAUUUUGUGAAGUUAGGGUUUGAUUUUUCAAAAAAAAUCAGGUUGAUUUCUCAAUUUGGUGCGGCUAUUAGGGAUUGAUUUUAUAAACUUCACAGGUUGAUUUCUCAAUUUGGUGCCGUUAUUGGGGUUUGAUUUUACAAACUUCAUCAGGUAUUUAUUGUUUGAUCUCAGUCAGACAGCUUAAGUUGUAGGAACAUCUUUAUCAGGAUUACUGGUUCGGUGAUGUUAAUGUACAAGCAUGCUCUGUUUUCAGUGAUUAUGAUGGAGUAAUAGACAAGUAUGAGAUGAGGAGGGGUCGGUUUGCAAAGGACGGACUGAUUCAGUACCGGAUUGUAUGCCAACAAGUUAAUGCUGGUUCUCUGGAAGAGGUGAUCAAAUACUUUUUACAUCUUCCAACUGAGAAAGCUGGGAAUGCAAAGACCCAAAAACCAUCUUGCAAAUCUUAACAAAUACAAGGACUAGAGAGACAGGCCUGACUUAUUGUUACCGGAAACUUACAACUGUACCAAGACACGAGGUUUGAGCAGCUCAAAAUUGCAACUGAGCUUGAACUUUGGCAGCUGUAAUUGAUAGUUUGUUCUCCAAUGGCAUUAUGAUAAGGCGAAGGCCAUAUUCUUAACCCCUGCUGUUCGAGCCAAAUCUCUUGGUGCAAUAUCAUCUCUGAUUCGACACAACAAGCCUGGAGUUGUUGCAUUCACGCUGGCAAAUGAUUACGGAGCUUUGAGAGAAGCACUAGGUUCAGACAAGUUAGGAUUCAAAGGUAAUUUUCUCCAACACUUGAUUAAUUUGAUUUCUUUUUGUUGUUUGCAUACUGGAAAGUCCAACACUUGAUUUAUUAACAAACAUGUCUUCUUUUGUUGAUAUCUAUGAUUCUGAAGAUUACGCUACUAAUUGACUCUUUAACCUAGUGUUGAAUUUAAAACUAUCCCAAGUGAGUUUCAUGAUAACCAGGAAAACUCUCAACUUGGUUUAGUACCUGCUACAAGAGAGAACAGUUCAGAUUGUAAUGUGAUAACGGAACUAGGAUUUCCUCGUACUAUGAGAAAUAUCCCAUUCAAUGGAAAUAAUCCAGUUCAGGUGCAAUUAUGUUAGUUCAUAGUAUUUACUUAUGAACCUUGGUAGCUAUUCGUUAUGGCGUAUGAUUGAUGUAAUCAAGGAGAGAUGAAAUACAAGGAGAUUAUAAUGGGAACUACAAACGAGUUUUUAUUACAUGACAGUUAACAUCAAGGAGAACACAAGGUGGCGAUACUGGAAAUGCUUGUGCUGCUCAACUGGGUAUAAUCCAUAACGAAAGAGCUGAGAUUAAACUACAACGUACAUCUGGUUUACUUGAAAGAUAAGCAUUCCUUUACGUUACUUAUACCCCCAUAUGAGUUUGAAUUACUAAGACCUUAAUCUGGUAUGCUUCUUGUGAGCGAAAGCAUACAAAGUUGAUCUGUGACAUGUAAAGUUCACUGCAUAGCUUAACUUAGCUUGACCAGGUAAUAGGCUCACUGCAUAGCUUUUCGAGUUUUUUUAAAAGUUAUUCUCAAUUCAUAUAGCUCAUUUGGACAUAACUUGUCUUAUAGUUCAUCUAGUGAUGUUAUUUUCUAUCACACAGGACCAGCUAUUGAUCCAACUUUUCCAUGGUGUUUACUGUGAAAGUUCUGUUAUAAAACACUUACUUACGUUUUACAUAUUCUAUUGUCCUGAGUCUUCUAUUUUAUUUUGAUUAUGUUUGAAGCUUUUCGCUUGUGUUCUUUAUCCUCAAAAGAGUUUGUUGUUUCAAUAGGAGCCUCUUAGAAUUAGUUAGGUACUUCGCUUAUUCAUGCUAGAGUACUGAGCCUUAGUUAGUAUCUCCAUCUACUACCCUGUUGUCGGAUACAAUUUGUCGUGAUUCAAAACCUAUUGAAGAAAGUUAUAUGUCACUGAAAGCACAUAAGUUUCUUUGGUAUCUAUCUGUGAUUGUUAACCUGCAUCCUGUAUAAUUCUAAUAUUGUAAUUGACAUGAUAAAUAAGCUUUGAGAUUUAUCACAUCAAUUGUUUUUCUUUAUCUGUGACUUGUGAUCUGUCUUGUAAAUAAGCUCAUAUAGAUUCUUAUAGCAUAUCUUAAUCCUAGAGUUACUUAUACUCCAUCUUGAUCUGGCUUCUUUGAGAACUGAGUGAAUGAUGAUAAGUGACUCAUUGUGCUAUAAUUAAAACUGUAUCGUACUGUCCAAGUUUAUUUUGGUCAACUGAUAUUGAAAACGUUUUUGUUGCAGGUGCACUGAAGUGUAGGCUCAUCAUCAGAGUAUCGUUUUGUUGUUUAAUCAAUUGUCUAUUAUUAGUGCAUGUUGUUGUUUAAGCUUAGAACUUGCUAGCUUGGACAUGUAUUGUUCUGGACUCAGGAUUUCCUCCUUUUUUGUGUAAUUUAAACCCAAUGGAUUGAAUGAAUGAAUGUUGAAUUUGAAGUUUGACUUAAAUUUGAAGUUCCAUUUGACUUUCA